UACGUAGGGGGCAAGCGUUGUCCGGAAUCAUUGGGCGUAAAGCGCGUGUAGGCGGCCCGGUAAGUCCGCUGUGAAAGUCCAGGGCUCAACCUUCAGACGUCGAUGGAAACCGUGCGGCUAGAGUCCGGAAGAGGAGAGUGGAAUUCCUGGUGUAGCGGUGAAAUGCGCAGAUAUCAGGAAGAACACCCGUGGCGAAGGCGGCUCUCUGGGACGGUACUGACGCUGAGACGCGAAAGCGUGGGGAGCGAACAGG
rnacentral:rRNA from 1 species